rnacentral:rRNA from 1 species
UACGAAGGGGGCUAGCGUUGCUCGGAAUCACUGGGCGUAAAGCGCACGUAGGCGGAUUGCUAAGUCAGGGGUGAAAUCCUGGAGCUCAACUCCAGAACUGCCUUUGAUACUGGCGAUCUUGAGUCCGGGAGAGGUGAGUGGAACUCCGAGUGUAGAGGUGAAAUUCGUAGAUAUUCGGAGGAACACCAGUGGCGAAGGCGGCUCACUGGUCCGGUACUGACGCUGAGGUGCGAAAGCGUGGGGAGCAAACAGG